rnacentral:lncRNA from 1 species
CCUCUGUGUGUGUGUUUGUUUUGGUGUCCCUUAACACUUUCCCUGCUUCAUCACACUGCCCAGAGCUUCCCACUGGGAACAUACUCUCACCUCCUUAAUUCCCAUUUCCUUUUUCUUACCCAAACAGGAAGGAGUAGCCACUAUUCAUGCCAUUGUCAAAACCUCAUGGCAACAAAACUUCCAGGGCUGGAAUUGCAAAGAUGAUUACAAAGGGGAGCUCCACAAUCAGGUGUUCCAAGAUAAUGAAUACUUCCAUAGCAACAAAAGUCUGACAAUAAACGGUUACCUUGAUUUUCACAUUUUCAAAGAAAAAUCCCUCAAUGGCAACUAGACCAGAAGUCUCAACACUGAAUAUGCAAUAAUGGCUACAAGUGAAGAAAGGAACAAGGUGUUCAGCUAAUAACGUGGUUUGGGAAGGGAGUUUGAAAAGAGAAGAUAAAGAAAUACUCAUCUAGGAGAGUAGGAGUGUGGAUGGACUAGAAAAAAGAAAAAGAAAUUCUUGGUCCCCAACAUGGAAAUCCAAGAUGCAAGGAAAUCAUAGGCUCUGAAUCACCUGGGGAAGAAACCGCUGCAGACCAAAUUGCAUCUUAGAUCCAUUAAAUCAGAAACUUGGAUUGCUGGAUUCAGGUACAAGUAUUUUUAAAGCUCCCUAAGUGAUUAUAAUGUAUAGCCAAAGUUGAGAACUACUGCUUUGGAGCCACUGGUCUAAUGGAACAAAUUGCAUUGAUUUACUUCCCUUAAUAUUACUAUGUAUAACUAACUAAAUAAGAUGUAUUAUUUUAUGUUUCUUCUUAAUAUUGGCAUAAACCAAUAAAUUAGUGUAUGUAUGUUUCAUUGUUAGAAGAAUAUAUGAAUAUUAUUUUUGUACCAGAUAUUCCAUCAGGAGCAGAAACGUUCACAGAAAAGGGGCACAAAUUUUAGGGGCAGAGUAAGAUGUGAACCAUACAAUCAGCUCUGAGCAUCCUCCUCUGCCCAUUUGCCUCAUAUGGUUUUAAGGAUGGUAAGUGCAGAUAAAGCUGUGAAUGAGAAGAGGAACAGAGCAGUCAUCAUGGAACAUGAGAGAGAAGCUAUGUAUUCAAGGCCCCAGAACCACAAGUAGAAGGAGCCUGGAUCCCAGAUAAUUUUGUGGGUCCCAUAGUCCUGAAUUGCCUGCCCAGGCUUUAACAUGAAAGAGAACAAUUUCUCUAUUUCAUUUAAACCACAGUUAUUACAGGGUCUCUUUCAACAGCCAAACCUAUUACCUAACUAACACAAGUCAUGACCAGGUAGUCUUGCUAACAGAAUAUCUCAUAUUCAAUUAAGUGUUUUAAAUAUAUACCAUUGUUACUGCACCUGAACAACCGAAAACUUCUGUGAGAAGACCAAAAAUCUAUACUUAGUAGAAAUUUUCCUUCUUAAUUUUAGCAUCUACAGAAAUGUGCCCCAUAUUUUGUCCUGUGAAUGACUUUCAAAAGUUCAGACUUGUGUAAUGCCCUAUAAGUUGAACCAAAUAUUAAUUUCUUUGCAAUAUAUAAAGAUUUUAUUUAACAUAGUGUAAUAUAAAGAUAAUAUAUGUCUAAUGUAGUAGAUGUCAAGUACAGUAUGUGUUUGGUAUUUAGACCUUAUAAAAAAAAUUUUUCUAGCUCUUGUCUACCAUGUAGGUAACAUAUUCCCAUUUUAUAAAUAAAGCAAUUCCAG